CGCGGGUCAACUGGGGGUCAGAUCCUCUUGACGACCUUCUCCAGCAAUACCUCCGUCGUUAUUCUCUCAGAGCCACAUUUAAACUACUCAAAAUUCCAUCUGGAAUUCAAGACCUCACAGGAAAAUGAAACAUGAAGUGCCAACAUUUUGCUUUACAAAGCUUUUACGAAAGUCCCUGGUUUUGAAUCUGCAAAGAAAUCAUAGUAGAAAGUUAUACUUCUAAGGAGAAGACUAUGGAAUCAUUGGAAUUCUCUAGGAACACCUCUUUUUCUUCAUCUCUAUUCCAAAUUACAACUUUCAGUGCUAUUUUAUACCAGAAUGAUAAGAAAAUGGAAGAACACAAAGCUGAGGGAAUUUGCUCACUGUUGCAUAGAUACUAAAGGAUGAAAUCCA